ACUUCCACACCAUCUACCAUUCCCACUACUGCAGUUCCUUUACAGCCGGUCACUUCCACAACAUCUACCAGUUUUACUUCUACAGUUUCAUUACAGCCAGUCACUUCCACAACAACUAUUAGUUCCACUUCUACAGUUCCUUUACACAUGGUCACUUCCAC